CCGUAUGGACUGCUCAUGUGCGACAUCGCAUACGGAGUGCUCACGAGCAGCAUCCCAUAUGGUUGCCAUGAGUGCGCACUCCGUAUGGGAUGCCGCACAUGUGCAGUCCAUACAGACAUCA